GCAGUCUGCCGGUCUGUCGCUCAAAUUUAUGUUGGGAGGAAAGUCCGGGCAACACAGAGCGCCAUACUUCCUAACGGGAAGCUGUCUGCAAAGGCAGAGUAACGUAACAGAAAAUAACCGUCCCGCUUGCGGGAUAAGGGUGAAAAGGCGAGGUAAGAGCUCACCGGAUAGUUAUAGUAAUAUAGUAUGCCGUACGUCUUAUGGGUUGCAAGGUCAUGUAUACCGGCGCAUGUAGGGUUGCUCGCCCGAUGCCGGAGGGUAGACCGCUAGAGCUUACCGGCAACGGUAAGUCGAGAUAAAUGGCAGACACUUUUUCCGCAGGGAGGAAGAACAGAACCCGGCUUACAGGCAGACUGCAACU
rnacentral:RNase_P_RNA from 1 species